UUAAGCGACUAAGCGUACACGGUGGAUGCCCUGGCAGUCAGAGGCGAUGAAGGACGUGCUAAUCUGCGAUAAGCGUCGGUAAGGUGAUAUGAACCGUUAUAACCGGCGAUUUCCGAAUGGGGAAACCCAGUGUGUUUCGACACACUAUCAUUAACUGAAUCCAUAGGUUAAUGAGGCGAACCGGGGGAACUGAAACAUCUAAGUACCCCGAGGAAAAGAAAUCAACCGAGAUUCCCC
rnacentral:rRNA from 1 species